UUGACAGUAACACAAAUUGCUUAUUAAAUGGAAAAAAAUCAAUAAAUAGACAUAAAAAGGGGGUUCAUAGAAUAUAUAUAGGAUAAAGGUGCCCUUGGAGAAGCUGAUAUUCACAAACGAGAAAAAUUCGAUCCAAUAGGGAAGUAACUCAUCGGAAUUGGUGGGCUUUUCUUAGCUUUGCUUUCCUUCAAUUUAGCAUUACUAGCAGUGUUAGCUUUGAUCGACGACGGUGAAACCUUCUCUCGUUGAGAACCAGAGAAACAACUGAAGAAACUGAUCAAGAGAGCCAUGAAAAAAUUAGGGUUAGCUUGCACAACUUUGAGGACUGAUUCUUUUGCAAGAGGCAAGUACUAGUAGUUGUUUGUUGGAACAUGAUAUUGUUGGUGGUCUGGUCUCUUUAUAUAUAUAAGCAGGCUGUUGGGUUUUGAGAGAGGAAAGGACAUGCAUGGAACCUGGACUGAUGUUGUAGCUUUCAGGUUGUUCUUGGUGUCUUCGAGGAAAGGGAUAAGGUGUGUGGUGUUUCAUGCGUGGUGAACAAGCAUGAAAAAGAAAAGGUUAAGUUGAAAUUUCAACACAGUGCUCAUAGUUGACUAUUAUCAUCUUUGUAAUUAAGUUAGCAGCCUAUGUAAACCAUUUCAAAUUCAAUGACGUCUACAUAUAUAAAAUUAUAAAUUUUUGGAGGGCUAGGUUAAAAAAUUUGUGUUGUGUUGUGUUGUGUGUCACAGGACUAAAACUUAAAUUUUGUAAACUCCGCAGCUUUAGCCAGAAAUUUAGCUUUAAAUCUGCAGAAGUCAACUUAACUGUCGAAAGUGAGAAUUUAUAAAAAAAAUUCUUUAAGUCACCGAAAUAAAGUGGAAGUAAACUCAAAGCGGAAAAGUAACUAAAGAACCAAAAAAGCGAUAAGAACUUUGAAUGAAAUGUUUACAAAUGAGGGAGAACGCCUCUAUUUAAAGUUGAACUCUCCCAAAUUCAAUAAUACUGUCUAAAUUACAUCAACGGUUAAAAUUAAAGUCUAUGUACAAGAUACUAUGCUUGUAGAUUUUAUCCGCAUUUUCCAAUUACAUCGUUUUUAGUAUUUUUUUAUUUAUUUUGAAAUUUCAUUUUUAGCAGGGCAAAGGGAGGGGCCAGACAAGGACAUUGGCCACCUAAAAUUAAAAUUUUUUGUUUUAGACCCUGUAAAUUUAUAAAUUUAUAAGUUAAUUCACAGUAAAAUUAUAGUUUAGCUCCCCAAAAUAAUAAAAUCUCAAUUUAGUCUCUCAAAAAGCUGUGAAAAUAUAAGCCAAUACAAUGGUGAAAUCGCAUUUUAACUCCCAUAAAAAUAUAUAACAUAAUCUCGUCUCCAAAAAAUUUGUCUAACUUCUCCCUGAUUCUUAGUCUUUAAGCUUUUUUUAAUUGAACCAUUUCAUUUGACAAUCAAUUUAAUUGACCAAAGUAAGUAAUGUUAAUUUGAUUUAAUUAAAUCGAUAACUAAUUAAUUUGCAAGUUGAUUGAUUCAACAGAAUAUUCGUUGGGUUAACUGAUAAGACAGAUUACCCUCCCCUAAUUGAUUCGCAUCAAAGAACUUUGAAAACUAUGGAAGUGCAUAGUUCAGCCAAAUGCUAAGGACCUAGUCAAUUCAUUCAGCCAAAUUUUCCAACAUAAAUUGAGCUCCACACACUUUGAGUUAUAUAAAUUACAUCUUCAAAUAUCAACUUAAUAAUAAAUUAAAAUGUGCUAUGGGUACUUAUACUCUUUAAUUAUUUAAAAUUUAAUCCCUUUCAAAUUUAAAAAUACAAGUUAACGGAUCCUUACAUUAGAAGACGGUGGGCAUAGAAAGAGGAAAACAUUAAAUGAUAUUCAUCGGGUAUCUUGCUAUUCAUCGGGUCAUGACAAGAUGAAUUAAAUGAUAUUCUUUACUAAGCCAGGGGCGAAGGUGUAUGACUCUCGUAAAAUGAAAAAUUGUUACUUUAAUCCUCAAAUUUUAUAAAAUAUUAAAUUAAUAUACAGCAAAACUAUAAUUUAACUCUUUAAAAAUGUUAAAUUUCUGCUGCCCAUACAUAUCAUUAUCCAAAUACUUAAUCUAAAAUUGAGAUGUUUUGCGUUUAGAUUAUUUUAAUUUGAAGUUCGAAUUUUUUCGAAUUGUAUCGGUAUAAGUUUUACUUUAAUUUUUUAUCAUUAUAAGUUUGAGUUGAUAUUAUUUUCGAGUUAAUUUGAAUUUAUUAAAUUAGAGGAGUAUGAAUAAUGGAUGUUUCUUAAUUAGGUUUGGUCUUGAACUUACAUUAAUCUGAUUUUAUCUAUAAUAAUUUGCACUUAACACACGUUCUUAAUGAAAAAAUACAGCGACACAUUUGAGUUAUAAAAAUAAUUUUUCCAAAUAUCAACAAAAAUGAAAUUUCUUACAAAAGAAUACACUAAACUCUAACAGUAGAUGUCCUAAACAAACAUUAUUAACAUUGUCGAAGAUGAAAACAAAUUAAGACAAUUCUCAAAAGAAAAAACAAAGAGUUGAUUAGAAUACAGAGAAAACGUGCUCUUAAAGAAGCUGACAUGCAUGUAAGCAUCUGUUUCAACUCCAACAUCGGACUUGAGACCAGUCUGUCUCGGGACAUGAGCGUUUAAAGGAUGGAUUCCAACUUAUACUACUUCGACCAACAGCUUUCAUAACAGGGAAAGUUUUGAUCCGAUAGGGAAGUAAGUAAUGGGAAUAGGAGGGUUGUUCUUAGCCUUGCCUUCCUUCAAUUUAGCAUCACUACCUGCUUUACUAACGGUUGAUGAUGAUGGUUGAGUGUCUUCUCCUUGGGAAGCUACCUUAUUAGAACCAGAGAAAAAACAAGCGACGAAACUGGUUGAAAAGAAAGCCAUUGAAAAAAGAUUACACAACUUUGAGGACUGAUUCUUUUGCAAGAUACAAGUACUAGUAGUUGUUUGUUGGAACAUGAUAUUGUUGGUGGUCUGGUCUCUUUAUAUAAGCAGGCUGUUGGGUUGUGAGAGAGGAAAGG
rnacentral:lncRNA from 1 species